rnacentral:lncRNA from 1 species
AUGUAUUGCAUACAAAAAAGAAAGAUAAACAUCAUUAAAAACAGGUUACUCCAUAUUUACCUUGUAGCCACCAACCGGUCCUCUAUCUUCAGUGGUCACCACGGUCAGCUUUCCCUGAGCGCUUUGUUUCUGGACGAGUACCAUGACCGCCUGUUCCUGGGGGGCAAAGACGUCCUCUACUCCCUGAGACUGGACCAUACCAACCUGGACUCCAAAGAGAUCUACUGGCCUCCGUUGCCUGGUAACAGAGAUGAAUGUGUCCAGAGAGGGAAAGAUUCUCAGACGGAGUGUGCCAACUUUGUGCGCCUGCUGCAGCCCUAUAACCGCACCCACCUGCUGGCCUGUGGUACGGAGGGUAAGACCCACUGCAUCACACACACACACACACACACACACACACACACACACACACACACACACACACACACACACACACACCACACACACACACACAAACACACACACACAGAGAACGGACGGGGGAAGGUUCCUCACGACCCCAGCCUCCCCUUCGCUAGCACCUUAAUUGGUGGGGAGUUAUACACAGGGCUGACUGCAGACUUCCUGGGUAGAGACUCAGUGAUCUUCCGUAGUCUGGGAGGUCGCUCCACCAUGAGGACUGAGACGGACCAGAGACUGCUGCAUGAUCCUAAGUUUGUUGCGGCCCACCUCAUCCCUGAUAAUGAUGACCGUGACAAUGACAAGGUGUACUUCUUCUUCACGGAGAAGGCCAUGGAGGCCGGGAACAGAGAGGGGGCCAUCCACACCCGAGUAGGACGUGUGUGUGCGAAUGAUGUAGGUGGACAGAGAGUGCUGGUGAAUAAAUGGAGCACCUUCAUCAAGGCCAGACUGGUGUGUUCUGUACCUGGGCCUCAUGGCAUUGACACACACUUUGACGAGCUGGAGGAUGUUUUCCUGCUUAGAGGCAAGGAUGAGAAGAACCCAGAUGUUUAUGCCAUCUUCAGCACCAUCAGUAACGUGUUCCAAGGCUUUGCAGUUUGUGUGUACCGUAUGGCAGACAUCAGAGAAGCCUUCAACGGGCCUUUUGCACACAAGGAGGGACCUGACUACCAGUGGGGGGCUUACGAGGGCAGAGUGCCCUAUCCAAGACCUGGGGUGUGCCCCAGUAAGAUCACCAACCAGCCUGGCAGACAGUUUGGCAGUACCAAGGACUUCCCAGACGCAGUGCUCCAGUUUGCCAGAGGGCACCCCCUGAUGUGGCGACCGGUGUACCCAGCCAUGAAGCAGCCUCUGCUGGUCAAGGCCAACUUGCCCUACCGCCUCAAACAGAUCGUGGUGGACCGUGUAGAGGCAGAGGAUGGACAGUAUGACGUCAUGUUCAUAGGCACCGACAUAGGCACUGUUCUGAAGGUCAUUGCAUUGCGCAGCGGCAACACUCUGGACACAGAAGAGGUCACUCUGGAGGAGCUGCAGGUCUUUAAGGUGCCAACUCCCAUUACCUCUUUGGAGAUCUCAGUAAAAAGGCAAGCACUGUACGUGGGUUCUCCGGUGGGUAUGGCCCAGCUGAGGCUUCACAGGUGUGAGACGUAUGGGAAGGCCUGUGCUGAGUGCUGCCUGGCCAGAGACCCCUACUGUGCCUGGGACGGCACCUCCUGCACUCGCUACACCUCGCUCAGCAGACGCCGCUAUCGCCGUCAGGACAUCAGGCAUGGCAACCCGGCCCUGCAGUGUAUGGACCAGAACCUCAGUGUGGAGGAGCUGGACGUAACAGAAGACAGAGUUGUGUACGGGACAGAGAACAACAGCACCUUCCUGGAGUGUGUUCCCCGCUCCCCACAGGCCACUGUUACAUGGCUGCUCCAACGAGACGGCCGCAAGGAAGAGGUGAAGCUGGAUGACCGAGUGAUGCAUAUGGAGCAGGGCCUGCUCUUCCGCCGUGUGUUCCGUCAGGAUGAGGGUGUGUAUGUGUGUCUCUCCCGUGAGCACGGCUUCACCCAGACCCUCACCCACCUCUCCCUGGAGGUCCUGCAGGGGAACACACUGAGUGAGCUGCUGGCCCGUGACGACACCCCCCUCGACGGUCCCCUGGGGGUAAAGGGGUACCGGUCCUGGCCACCCUGCCAUGCUUACAGGAGCAUCAACCCCCUCAGCCACCUGCGCCCCUGGUUCAAGGACAUCAUGCAGCUGAUUGGCCCAUCCAACCUGCCGCACGUGGAGGAGUACUGUGAGAGGAUGUGGUGCAACGACAAGCUGCGGCGUAAACACAAGAGCAUGCUGGACAAGUACCGGCAGGCACAGGAUAGCGCGCGCAAGACCCGCAAUAAGGGCUCCGGGGAACGCAACCGGACGCCGCGGGACGUCAGCAACCGACAGCCGUAGAAGGGAGGGAGAAACAGAUGAAGGGAGGAGAAAGAGAAGGACUACAUGACAUGAUGAAUGAGAGAAGGAAGAGGUGGUAGUGAUAUGUAUUGUAGAAAGAUGUACUGCCAACAGAGAUGAGGGUUGAGACUGAUUUAGAGGCAGAAGGGAGGAGGAGAAAGAGAGCGACAGGUACUCAUGGCACUCAUCAACUCUCAUUUGCUUCAUGAAAAACCCUCAACUGUUUCCACAAAGGGACCCUUUUCUUCUCCACGCACCCUUGCAACCUCAGUGUCUCUGUAUGAUUAUGGAUUGACUGUAACAUGCUGCAAAUAGUGUGUGUGUUGGACUGCUACAACUGAUCUCCUUCAACCCAACAUUGCACUCAUUUCUCUUAGGUCAUUGAGCCCAUUCCAUGUUACCCAUUCUGUGAUUGCUUCUGUGUUCUUCGCUCUGUACCCCUUAAAACGGCAUUUUCGGAGCCUUUGCCUUACCCUGCACCUCAACACACACUACACUGCUAGAAAAAACAUUGUCCUAUGGCUCACUUCAUAUACAGUCAAAAAGUUAUUUAAAGAACCCCAAAGCACCGUUAUUUUUUAGCAGUGUAAUCCCAUCACCCUGCAAAUAAUUCACAACAGCAAAUUCUAUCCACACACACUCACACACACUGUUGAGCGAACAUACAAGCACACUCACACAACCAUCACUCAACCAGCCAUAACAACACACAAGCACACUCACACAACCAUCACUCAACCAGCCAUAACAACACACCAGACAAUUGCUUUAACUGGAAGUUGCCAUGAGACGAUUGUUGACGGUUCAACAGAGAAAAGGCCUGUUUGUUGCUUUGUAUUAUCAGCUAGACUCCAGGUCCCACCAUUCCUUUGUCUGUCGUAGGUGUUGUUCUCACUCCUGACAAAGGAAGGAAAAUAAAAAGGGUCAUUGGCGCUGGCUGAAUGUUCUG